UACAGGGGGGGCAAGCGUUGUUCGGAAUUACUGGGCGUAAAGGGCUCGUAGGUGGCCAACUAAGUCAGACGUGAAAUCCCUCAGCUUAACUGGGGAACUGCGUCUGAUACUGGAUGGCUUGAGUUUGGGAGAGGGAUGCGGAAUUCCAGGUGUAGCGGUGAAAUGCGUAGAUAUCUGGAGGAACACCGGUGGCGAAGGCGGCAGCCUGGACCAACACUGACACUGAGGAGCGAAAGCCAGGGGAGCAAACGGG
rnacentral:rRNA from 1 species